rnacentral:tRNA from 1 species
GCCUAGUUAGCUUGGUUGGUAGCGCGUCUGCCUCGUAAGCGCUAGGCCGCGGGUUCGAUUCCCGUCCGGGGCG